UCAGAAGCUGAUGGCGUGCUAGAAUCCUACUUAUCCUGUAAGGAGAGCGUCUUGCAGUCUGAUCAAAUCGCAAGUACAUCUCUUGGCCUUCUGUUGACACAGUAUUCACACAGUAGCACCCUGAGCCUGAAGUGCCGGGCACCUGCCUUAACAUCUUUGCCCUUUAAAAAAAAAUCAACUCUUAAUCAGAAAGAAGAGACGCAAGAAACAGAAAAGCGCGAGCGUUUUGAAAGCAAGCAAGGAAGAGGAGUGCUAAAAGCCUACAAUUCAGGAUUCCAACUCCCCUCACGUGAUCGGAAAGGGCCAAUCAGUUAAAGCAAAGAAUGUGAAAGUACACAGCGUGCCUCGCUGCCGAGGAAAGUGAAUGCUGUUCAAGCAUUUACAGCAGCCUCUCAUGAACUCUGAGAGCAAAUACAAAUGUCAUGCCUCGGAGCUGAUUAAGCAGUGGUGGUGAGCCUGGUACGAAAGUCUGAAGGAAGAAAAGAGAGCGAGAGACGUACAUAUUUCAUGCUGCAACAAUCUUAAGCGAGCAGAAGCCUGGCAUUUUUCUCUGCCCCGGAGGCUCAGGUCACUUUUCAGACAUAACAGUUUCCAAGGCAGUUUACCAUAAAAGCAACAACGACGUGCAUAUUUCAUCUGAAAAGCCCCAUCGGUGCUCCACUGGCUCUUGAGAUGCACCUGCUUAGACAAGCAUUCCCCUGCGCUCCUGACCUGAACCUCCUGAUCUAAUAGUUUUAAUUGCUGUUUUAAUAGGCUUAUUUUAUUGUACAUUUUAACUGAGGAUGUUUUUAAUGUUUUGAUGAAAUUGUUUUAUUGUGUAUUUUAAUGAUGGAUAUAUUUUUAUAAUUGAUUUUACAUUUGCAAAGCGUUGAGAAGCCAUUUUGGCAUGUAAGCAGUAUACUACUACUAAUAAAAAUAGUAAGUGCAAACACA